UACGUAGGGGGCAAGCGUUGUCCGGAUUUAUUGGGCGUAAAGAGCGUGUAGGCGGCCAGGGAGGUCCGUUGUGAAAACUCGAGGCUCAACCUCGAGACGCCGAUGGAAACCCCCUGGCUAGAGUCCGGAAGAGGAGAGUGGAAUUCCUGGUGUAGCGGUGAAAUGCGCAGAUAUCAGGAAGAACACCCGUGGCUAAGGCGGCUCUCUAGUACGGUACUGACGCUGAGACGCGAAAGCGUGGGGAGGCGAACAGG
rnacentral:rRNA from 1 species